rnacentral:rRNA from 1 species
CCUACGGGGGGCAGCAGUGGGGAAUAUUGCGCAAUGGGCGAAAGCCUGAUGCAGCGACGCCGCGUGAGGGAUGAAGGUCUUCGGAUCGUAAACCUCUGUCAGCAGGGAAGAACGGUCACUGUGCUAAUCAGCAGUGAAUUGACGGUACCUGCAAAGGAAGCACCGGCUAACUCCGUGCCAGCAGCCGCGGUAAUACGGAGGGUGCGAGCGUUAAGCGGAAGUACUGGGCGUAAAGCGCUCGUAGGCGGUAUGUCAAGUCAAGGGUGAAAUCCCCGCGCGCAACGUGGGAACUGCCUUUGAAACGGGCAAACUGGAGUGUGUGAGAGGAUAGGGGAAUUCCAGGUGUAGGAGUGAAAUCGGUAGAUAUCGGGAGGAACAGCAGGGGCGAAGGCGACUAUCUGGCACAUAACUGACGCUGAGGAGCGAAAGCGUGGGUAGCAAACAGGAUUAGAUACCCUGGUAGUC